rnacentral:misc_RNA from 1 species
GAUGAAGAACGCAGUGAAAUGCGAUACGUAAUGUGAAUUGCAGAAUUCAGUGAAUCAUCGAAUCUUUGAACGCACAUUGCGCCCGCCAGCACUCUGGCGGGCAUGCCUGUUCGAGCGCCAUUUCAACCAUCAAGCCCCAGGCUUGCGUUGGAGCCCUGCGGCUGCCGCAGCCUCCUAAAAGCAGUGGCGGGCUCGCUAUCACACCGAGUGCAGUAGAUUACUCUUCGCUCAGGGCGUGCAGCGGGUUCCGGCCGUGAAACCCCCUACUUUUAAAGGUUGACCUCGGAUCAGGUAGGAAUACCCGCUGAACUUAAGCAUAUCAAUAAGCGGAGGA